rnacentral:rRNA from 1 species
UACGGGGGGGGCAAGCGUUGUUCGGAAUUACUGGGCGUAAAGCGCGCGUAGGCGGACCUGCAAGUCGGGGGUGAAAGCCCGAGGCUCAACCUCGGAACUGCCUUCGAUACUGCGGGUCUCGAGUCCGGGAGAGGUGAGUGGAAUUCCUAGUGUAGAGGUGAAAUUCGUAGAUAUUAGGAAGAACACCAGUGGCGAAGGCGGCUCACUGGCCCGGUACUGACGCUGAGGCGAGAAAGCGGGGGGAGCAAACAGG